AGUGCCUUAUGAAGAGGAUAAUAGGGAAACCGGUGAAAGUCCGGUGCAGCCCCCGCUACUGUAAGCAUUAUUUGGACGGCCCAAAUUGCCACUGGAGAAAUCCGGGAAGGCUUGGGCCGGUUGAUGCGAAGCCAGGAGACCUGCUCUAAGA
rnacentral:ncRNA from 1 species